CCUGAUGUAAAGAAAGGUCAAGGAUUCCAGCUGGCGCUGUGAGAGCAAGCCCCCUGUACAAACAGGUUGGCAGCUUUUGAUCUGUUUGUUGCUGUGAGCAGAAUUUGGGUUUCCUGGCUACCAUAAGUGAUAACGUUGCUAUUACGUGGAUCAGAUGACGGGUAAAUGAACGAGCAAACAAAUUAAUGUAUAGAUACCCAAACGAAUGGGGAAAUGAAUGGAUGGUUAAAUGGAUUAAUAAGUGAAUGGAAAAUAAAGAGUGUGGCGUUGGUCUUGGUGGUUUCUUACGAGGAAGUGGGGUCUGGAGUGGAGAAUCGCUGGAGGACAAAGAGGAGUCCUGGGGUGUUGUCCGUGUCUUGGUGUUUUUCAAAGGCUUUCUUGAUAAUUCUAUAACAACAUUUCAUGUCAAUGUUGUAAAGAAAGCCAAUGAUGAAAUGAUUGAUUGAUUUGUGUAUCCAAUUACUACGAGUGUUACUAACUGCUUUAUAGACACUGCAAAGAUUUUAAACUUGAAUUGCUGCUUGCCAAAACCUUACAGCAAAACAUAUGGUGUGUGCAGUUGUAUAAACUAGUUGUUUUACUUUAUAUGCUCCUUUACUUCCUAGUCUGGUUGAAUCAAAUAAUCCAAUGGAAACAUCUUUUUGGUAAGGAAUUACAAAAGCAACCUAUGAAAUAAACAUAUCAAGGAAAAGACAAGUUCUUUACUAUUGCUCACCAUGUUGAGGUAGCUGUUUUGCUGGGACAUAUGUCUGUGGGACAGUCUGAGUGUAGACGGUUUCAGUUUGUGUUGCUGUUGGAUGAGAGUUUACCAUUUCCUGCAUCUUUG